rnacentral:rRNA from 1 species
CACAGGUGCUGCAUGGCUGUCGUCAGCUCGUGUCGUGAGAUGUUCGGUUAAGUCCGCUAACGAGCGCAACCCUCACUGUGUGUUAUAUGUGUCACACGGGACUGCCGGUUUUAAGCCGGAGGAAGGUGGGGAUGACGUCAAGUCAGCAUGGCCUUUAUAUCCUGGGCUACACACACGCUACAAUGGCCAACACAAUAGGUUGCUAAGCCGCGAGGUGGCGCCAAUCCAAUAAAGGUUGGUCUCAGUUCAGAUUGUAGGCUGCAACCCGCCUGCAUGAAGAUGGAGUUGCUAGUAACCGCAGGUCAGCUAUACUGCGGUGAAUACGUUCCCGGGGCUU